rnacentral:rRNA from 1 species
UACGAAGGGGGCUAGCGUUGUUCGGAAUCACUGGGCGUAAAGCGCACGUAGGCGGAUUUGUAAGUCAGAGGUGAAAUCCCGGAGCUCAACUUCGGAACUGCCUUUGAUACUGCGGAUCUAGAGUCCGAUAGAGGUGGGUGGAAUUCCUAGUGUAGAGGUGAAAUUCGUAGAUAUUAGGAAGAACACCGGUGGCGAAGGCGGCCCACUGGAUCGGUACUGACGCUGAGGUGCGAAAGCGUGGGGAGCAAACAGG